rnacentral:sRNA from 2 species
AAACUACAAGGGGAGCCGAAGCUCCCCCAGAAGUAGUUGCAUGCUCUAUUUUUAUUAUUGGUUUCGGGCUUCUUGUUUUUGUUGAUCGCCCUCGCCAUGAAGCUUCACCUUCAUGACACUCCCAAUCGGGAGUUAAGAGCAAACGGAUUGCUUUGGUCGCUGUGUUGCUGAUCUACGAUCCAACCAGUUCAGGCUCUGCCUUAGGGCAGUU